UCCGAGUUGACCCCGGCAGUCUCCCACGAGUCCCCGGCAUAACCCGCUGGCAACAUGGGAUAAGGGUUGCGCUCGUUGCGGGACUUAACCCAACAUCUCACGACACGAGCUGACGACAGCCAUGCAGCACCUGUGUAGACUCCCCUUGCGGGGUCGUUACCCUUUCAGGCUUCUACCAUCUACAUGUCAAGGCCAGGUAAGGUUCUUCGCGUUGCAUCGAAUUAAGCCACAUACUCCACCGCUUGUGCAGGCCCCCGUCAAUUUCUUUGAGUUUUAAUCUUGCGACCGUACUUCCCAGGCGGCGCAUUUAACGCGUUGGCUACGCCACGAAAGGGGUCGAUUCCUCUCACAGCAAAUGCGCACCGUUUACGGCUAGGACUAC
rnacentral:misc_RNA from 1 species